UGUCCAGUCCUAUGGUUCUUGAACUGUGGGUCUAUGAUCGACCUGGUGUGGAUUGAGAGCACAGGAAGGAUCCAGGACAGAACUCCAGGAAGCUGUCUGCCUACACACCCAUUAGAUACCAACAGGAAUUAUGGACAAUCCCCUGUAUCACUCCUCCAGCUGCUGGGCCUGAACGGACAGUUCCGGCUGUUUCAGCUCACAGUGGCCCCAGUACGAUGUGCUGGAGCCAUCGAGAGAUGGUUCAUAUGGUGUCCACCUGAUGAAGCAUCACCCACCCCUGGGUCCUGAAGUGCCUCUGGGACUGGGCACCCACAGAGCCCAACAGUCACCUCUGGAAACAGAACUGAGACAUUACAAGGCUCAGGUUUUCACCAGCUUGAUCCCUUCAGGCUCAACAGCCUUCUCACUGACCAGCAUCUGACAGAAAUACAAACAUCAUGCCCCUGUGGUAGUCUCCUCCUGCCCCAUGCUUCCACAAGCUCUUCUGAUUUUUCCUACCAACCCAAGGGAUUCCUGGACUCUCACUCUGACUGGACCACUGAGAUGCUGCUUUGAAAAGAUAAGUAGGCCCUGCCAGGCCUUGGACACAGCAGCCCUCACGAGGCCAGCAGUCGCUGGUUUACUUUGUGUCCAAUGCCAUCUUUGGGAUCAGGCCUACAGGGAAACUGACAAACGUGGGACUGGGACUGUGGCCAGUGGUGCUGUGUGGAGCCCUGAGGAACGAGGUGUCUGCAGUGUGGACUGGGCACCCUCAGGUAGAGAGUGGCUCCUUGAGUUAGCAGGCCACCCAUGCUAAAUGCAGGGGUCUACUCUAUGGGACUCUCACUGCUGAAGAUGACAUUGAGUCCACUAAGUGCCGGCCUGUGGUAGAAGGUGUUGCAGGGAUAUGGGCAUGGCCCCAGAAACCUCUUAAGCCUUUGUUCCCACCGUGUAAGAAGCAGCACUGGCUAAUGUCAAGGAGUGAUACCCUGCCCAAGGCCUUAGGCUCCUGGUGGAGCCCUCAUCUUCAGCGAUGGGCCACCUGCACUUCUGAAGAGUGGUGGUGCAUGCUUAUUCCUGUUGGUUUCCAUGCCUGCAGAGGGCAGAGGUGACCAGGUGGCACCAACUGUCCUCUUUUUCUCCAGUGUCCUACUGUUGCAGGACUGUUUUUGUUCACUGUGUCUGGCAGGCUUAAGCUUCUGUCUGGCCCCUGGGAGUUUGUGAACUAAAGGGAAAAAAAUCACGUCAAUGGCUCCUUGCACAUGAAGCUCACAGUGCAUCUGCCUAUAUAAAAAAAGCUUUCAUGUAUUAGCCCAGGGUGA